CUCUAGUAACGGCGAGUGAAGCAGCAAUAGCUCAAAUUUGAAAUCUGGCGUCUUCGACGUCCGAGUUGUAAUUUGUAGAGGAUGCUUCUGAGUAACCACCGACCUAAGUUCCUUGGAACAGGACGUCAUAGAGGGUGAGAAUCCCGUAUGCGGUCGGAAAGGUGCUCUAUACGUAGCUCCUUCGACGAGUCGAGUUGUUUGGGAAUGCAGCUCUAAAUGGGAGGUAAAUUUCUUCUAAAGCUAAAUAUUGGCCAGAGACCGAUAGCGCACAAGUAGAGUGAUCGAAAGAUGAAAAGCACUUUGGAAAGAGAGUUAAAAAGCACGUGAAAUUGUUAAAAGGGAAGGGAUUGCAACCAGACUUGCUCGCGGUGUUCCGCCGGUCUUCUGACCGGUCUACUCGCCGCGUUGCAGGCCAGCAUCGUCUGGUGCCGCUGGAUAAGACUUGAGGAAUGUAGCUCCCUCGGGAGUGUUAUAGCCUCUUGUGAUGCAGCGAGCGCCGGGCGAGGUCCGCGCUUCGGCUAGGAUGCUGGCGUAAUGGUCGUAAUCCGCCCGUCUUGAAACACGGACCAAGGAGUCUAACAUCUAUGCGAGUGU
rnacentral:rRNA from 1 species